UACGUAGGGUGCGAGCGUUAAUCGGAAUUACUGGGCGUAAAGCGUGCGCAGGCGGUUUUGUAAGACAGAUGUGAAAUCCCCGGGCUUAACCUGGGAACUGCGUUUGUGACUGCAAGGCUAGAGUACGGCAGAGGGGGGUGGAAUUCCACGUGUAGCAGUGAAAUGCGUAGAUAUGUGGAGGAACACCGAUGGCGAAGGCAGCCCCCUGGGCCUGUACUGACGCUCAUGCACGAAAGCGUGGGGAGCAAACAGG
rnacentral:rRNA from 1 species